ensembl:lncRNA
GUGUGUGUUGGUGUGAGAGUGGUGGAUAGGUGUGUGUUGGUGUGAGAGGGGUGGAGAGGUGUGAGAGUGUCGGAGAGGUGUAUGUUGGUGUGAGUGGUGUAGAGGUGUGUGUGUGAGUCAUGGAGAGGUUUGUGAUGGUUUGUGUGAGAGUGAUGGAUAGGUGUGUGAGAGUGGCGGAGAGGUGUGUAUUGGUGUGGGAGGGGUGGAGAGGUGUGUGUUGGUGUGAGAGUGGUGGAGAGGUGUGUGUUGGUGUGAGAGUGGUGGAUAGGUGUGUGUAGGUGUGAGAGGGGUGGAGAGGUGUGUGUUGGUGUGAGAGUGGUGGAGAGGUAUGUGUUGGUGUGAGAGUGGUGGAUAGGUAUGUGUUGGUGUGAGAGUGGUGGAGAGGUAUGUGUUGGUGUGAGAGAGGUGGAUAGGUAUGUGUUGGUGUGAGAGGGGUGGAUAGGUGUGUGUUGGUGUGAGAGUGGUGACUAGGUAUGUGUUGGUGUGAGAGAGGGGACUGUUGCCC